GAUGAACGCUGGCGGCGUGCCUAAUACAUGCAAGUCGAGCGAACAGACGAGGAGCUUGCUCCUCUGACGUUAGCGGCGGACGGGUGAGUAACACGUGGAUAACCUACCUAUAAGACUGGGAUAACUUCGGGAAACCGGAGCUAAUACCGGAUAAUAUAUUGAACCGCAUGGUUCAAUAGUGAAAGACGGUUUUGCUGUCACUUAUAGAUGGAUCCGCGCCGCAUUAGCUAGUUGGUAAGGUAACUGCUUACCAAGGCAACGAUGCGUAGCCGACCUGAGAGGGUGAUCGGCGACACUGGAACUGAGACACGCUCCAGACUCCUACGGGAGGCAGCAGUAGGGAAUCUUCCGCAAUGGGCGAAAGCCUGGCGGAGCAACGCCGCGUCAGUGAUGAAGAUCUUCGGAUCGUAAAACUCUGUUACUAGGGAAGAACAAAUGUGUCAGUAACUAUGAACGUCUUGACGGUACCUAAUCAGAAAGCCACGGCUAACUACGUG
rnacentral:rRNA from 1 species